rnacentral:snRNA from 1 species
UUCGCUUCUCGGCCUUUUGGCUAAGAUCAAGUGUAGUAUCUGUUCUUAUCAGUUUAAUAUCUGAUACGUCCCUACCCAGGAAGGGGAAGUCGUGGCCUAAUGGUUAGAGAGUCGGACUCGUAACCCAAAGGUU